rnacentral:rRNA from 1 species
UCACCCCUACGGGGCGCAGCAGUGAGGAAUAUUGGUCAAUGGGCGGAAGCCUGAACCAGCCACGUCGCGUGAGGGAUUAAGGCCCUAUGGGUCGUAAACCUCUUUUGUCAGGGAGCAAUGGCGUCCACGUGUGGGCGUAUGGAGAGUACCUGAAGAAAAAGCAUCGGCUAACUCCGUGCCAGCAGCCGCGGUAAUACGGAGGAUGCGAGCGUUAUCCGGAUUUACUGGGUGUAAAGGGAGCGUAGACGGUGCAGCAAGUCUGAUGUGAAAGGUCGGGGCCCAACCCCGGGACUGCAUUGGAAACU